rnacentral:ncRNA from 2 species
UUUCAUAAAAAGAUCUUUGGUGCCUGCCAUAUAAAGCCGCUUUGCACGGGCUUGUAUGCGCAGGGUAAAAGGGAAACAGGUGCAAAUCCUGUACGAACUCGUCACUGUGAUUAGGGAGUAACUGCAAAGAAGCACACCGCAUGAGAAAUCCGCUGACGCGGAUGCGGUGUACAUAGGAAAUGCAGCUUAGGCUGCAUUUCAAGAAGGAGCACAUCGCAUGAGAAAUCCGCUGACGCGGAUGCGAUGUACGUAGGAAAUGCAGCUUAGGCUGCAUUUCAGGUGCCACUGAUGCAACUGCAUUGGGAAGGCGAAGCAUGUUAUGAUGAUCUAUGAGCCAGGAAACCUGCCAAUGAUCUGGUACAGAA